CCUACGGGAGGCAGCAGUGAGGAAUAUUGGUCAAUGGACGAGAGUCUGAACCAGCCAAGUAGCGUGAAGGAUGACUGCCCUAUGGGUUGUAAACUUCUUUUAUAUGGGAAUAAAACAGGGUAUGCAUACCCUCUUGUAUGUACCAUAUGAAUAAGGAUCGGCUAACUCCGUGCCAGAAGCCGCGGUAAUACGGAGGAUCCGAGCGUUAUCCGGAUUUCUUGGGUUUAAAGGGAGCGUAGGUGGAUUGUUAAGUCAGUUGUGAAAGUUUGCGGCGCAACCGUAAAAUUGCAGUUGAAACUGGCAGUCUUGAGUACAGUAGAGGUGGGCGGAAUUCGUGGUGUAGCGGUGAAAUGCUUAGAUAUCACGAAGAACUCCGAUUGCGAAGGCAGCUCACUGGACUGCAACUGACACUGAUGCUCGAAAGUGUGGGUAUCAAACAGGAUUAGAUACCCGUGUAGUC
rnacentral:rRNA from 1 species